UACUAGAGUAGCACUCGCAUAUCAAUAAGCGGAGGAAAAGAAACUAACAAGGAUUCCCCUAGUAACGGCGAGUGAAGCGGGAAGAGCUCAAAUUUGAAAUCUUAAAGGGUUUCCCUUUACGAAUUGUAGUUUAAAGAAGUGUUUUCUGUUGAGGUUUUGGUAAAAGUUCUUUGGAAUAGGACAUCAUAGAGGGUGAGAAUCCCGUAUUUGACCUUUACUUUCAACUUUGUGAUACACUUUCAAAGAGUCGGAUUGUUUGGGAAUGCAGUCCAAAAUGGGUGGUAAAUUUCAUCUAAAGCUAAAUAUUGGCGAGAGACCGAUAGCGAACAAGUACCGUGAGGGAAAGAUGAAAAGAACCUUGAAAAGAGAGUUAAACAGUACGUGAAAUUGUCAAAAGGGAAGCGUUUGACACCAGUGUUGUUUUUCUGAAAAUCAAUUAAAGAACUGUUUAUGCUAAGCUGUUUAGACUUUAUCAGCUAUCUGUUUAGUUUUGAGCUUUUCUUUAAUGCACUUUUCAGUUAACAAGUCAACAUCAAUUUCUUUUGCUGUAAAAAAGCUUGAGGAAGGUGGCUUGAGAUUCGUCUUAAGUGUUUAUAGCCUCUUGCCUAUGCAGUCGGAGAGAUUGAGGUCUGCAGCGUAGAUCCUUCGGGGCUAAAUGCAUUUGUGCUAAGUUAUAGCAUUUUAUAGACAACUUGUUGACUAUGAUUUGUCUUGUAGCUUACUCGCUUAUGUUAUUUUACCUACGCUUAGGAUGUUGAGCGCAUGUCUCUCUCU
rnacentral:rRNA from 1 species